AACCAUAGAAACCUGCGGAGUACCUGCGGAAGGAUCAUUACAGAGUUGCAAAACUCCCUAAACCUUUGUGAACGUUACCUAAACCGUUGCUUCGGCGGGCGGCCCGGGUCCUUCCCGGCGCCCCUCGGCCCUCGCGGGCGCCCGCCGGAGGUAAACCAAACUAUUGCAUUGUAUGGCCUCUCUGAGUCUUCUGUACUGAAUAAGUCAAAACUUUUAACAACGGAUCUCAGAUCGGAAGAG
rnacentral:misc_RNA from 1 species